UUCAAAAAGCAGGAACAGGCUAAUGAAGGAUAAUCAGCUCCGCAUUGUGGAGACCUCUAUUUCUUACCCCGUCCCUCAUUAUUUCUUUUGUAGACACGUCAGUGUACUGCGUGGCGGGCCUACAUCAGAAUUGUGCCUUACUGCAGGUCAGACUCACACACGGGCGACAUGCUGCUACUUGUGUCUCGUGGAGCGCCCACAUCGUCGGACACUUUCCACACUUGCCCACACACCACGACUGGAUGCGUGUACUUGGUGUGUAUUGGCCAGAGGACAAAACACAGGAAGCUGUGAUGGAUUUGAUGCCUGUCUGAAGUGUGGAUAAAUCUGGAACAGAGUGGGAUGAAGAUAACAAGGGGACCGGAGCAAGGAGGAAGGAAGUUUUCCCGUGGUAUCACACAAGAGACUACUCUUCCACAGGAGGAAAAAUGAAGCGAAUAAAUAAAGAGAAAAUCGAAUUCCUUCAGCCGUUGCAGGAGUGCCAGCCAAUGAAUCAGCAGAAUAAAUUCUCUCCAGAGAUAAACAAACAUGAUAUUUCAGCCGGGAGCCAUAGGACGGAAGGGCCUCUGUCGCUCUCGUAAAGUUCAGAGCGCUUCGGACCGUAAAAGAAGCCGCCUUCUCAAUCAGGGAAGCCUCUGGCACGAAGGCCUUUUACAACUAAAGCUGUGUGAUGAAAACCCACGGAAAAGCUCACACGCAUGCCCUUGACAAGGACUUUAACGCCGCAGAUAUACGGCCUCAUAUGGAAAACCAUUAAAGUGGGAUUCUGAAGCACAAGUGUCUCCCAACACACUGUCAACACACUAAGUGCUUGUAGUCUUGAUUUACACAUCUGCGAGCUGCACCGUGUCCUGCGUGCUGUAAUAAUAAAAACAUGCAGCUGUAUCCUGAUAGAAAACAUGCCUUCAACUACGAAGCUUUUACUGGCUUGAUUUCCAGUUUUCUUUCAUUCGUAUUUGCAAACACCCAGCGGUGAUUUUAGUGUCUACGCUUCGGUGAUGGAACCCGCACGUCACUGUGAAUAGCGAGAC